UACAAUAGCACGAAUACGAUU
rnacentral:piRNA from 1 species